GCGGGGGUACCCGAGCAUGGUCUAAAAAACAGGAUUAACCUGUUUUGAUUAUAGGGGCAGGACUGAGGCUCCUGUGGUGUAGACCUUCGUGGGUUCGAAUCCCACCCCCCGCACCA
rnacentral:tRNA from 1 species